AAGAAAUUGGAAUCUUCUCCAGAGAUUAUCAUCAAUUACAUCUGCAUAACUAUGCCACAAAAUUCCAAUGGCUAACAUACCUACAUGGAAAAAUGUUUGUGAAAAUAGCAGCUCUUCAAAAUGCAGCAACGUUAAGUAUCUUCACGGGAUUGAGCCAAGCCCUCCACCUAAGACCAAUCAGGGGAUUGGUUCUAUUGCUGUGUUCUGUUCUUCUGGAACCUCAUGAGAUCAAGUGAAGCCCUGCCCCUGAUACCAACCUUCUGGCAUGCGCUGAAGUGGGAGCCCUCCAACUGGUACUAAUCAAGUGACAGAGUGAGGAUGUAGCUCGGUAGACAGAAUGAAAGCACAACCUGGGAUGUAGCCGAGUGGAGCCAGUCCCUGCCUGGUAAGUACGAGGUUCUAAGCUCGAUCCUCUCCUCUCUCCCUCUCCAGGUUCUAAGUUUGAUUCUCAGAUGGAGCAGUGGCGCUGGGACUGAGGGGGGACAAACAGACAUGUGGUGAUAAACACUGACUCCCCAAUUUGGUGUACACGGUAGAUGAGAGUUAGG
rnacentral:lncRNA from 1 species